rnacentral:tRNA from 1 species
UGUCCAGGGAUGGGAAUCGAACCCACAGUGUUCCGCUUACCGGGCAGAUACCAUGUCCACUAGGCUAGCAAUCAUAAGC